AGACCCGAAACCCGGUGAUCUAGCCAUGGGCAGGUUGAAGGUUGGGUAACACUAACUGGAGGACCGAACCGACUAAUGUUGAAAAAUUAGCGGAUGACCUGUGGCUGGGGGUGAAAGGCCAAUCAAACCGGGAGAUAGCUGGUUCUCCCCGAAAGCUAUUUAGGUAGCGCCUCGUGAAUUCAUCUCCGGGGGUAGAGCACUGUUUCGGCUAGGGGGCCAUCCCGGCUUACCAACCCGAUGCAAACUGCGAAUACCGGAGAAUGUUAUCACGGGAGACACACGGCGGGUGCUAACGUCCGUCGUGAAGAGGGAAACAACCCAGACCGCCAGCUAAGGUCCCAAAGUCAUGGUUAAGUGGGAAACGAUGUGGGAAGGCCCAGACAGCCAGGAUGUUGGCUUAGAAGCAGCCAUCAUUUAAAGAAAGCGUAAUAGCUCACUGGUCGAGUCGGCCUGCGCGGAAGAUGUAACGGGGCUAAACCAUGCACCGAAGCUGCGGCAGCGAACGUAUCACUUAAAGCGAUUCAGCGGGUUACGAUUGACGGAGCGAAGCGACGUCAAAGCGUAUACAAAGUCGAGUCGGUUUAAGGAUACGUUCGUUGGGUAGGGGAGCGUUCUGUAAGCCUGUGAAGGUGGCCUGUGAGGGUUGCUGGAGGUAUCAGAAGUGCGAAUGCUGACAUAAGUAACGAUAAAGCGGGUGAAAAGCCCGCUCGCCGGAAGACCAAGGGUUCCUGUCCAACGUUAAUCGGGGCAGGGUGAGUCGACCCCUAAGGCGAGGCCGAAAGGCGUAGUCGAUGGGAAACGGGUUAAUAUUCCCGUACUUGGUGUUACUGCGAAGGGGGGACGGAGAAGGCUAUGUUGGCCGGGCGACGGUUGUCCCGGUUUAAGCGUGUAGGUGUGUGUUCCAGGUAAAUCCGGUUCACUUUAACACUG
rnacentral:rRNA from 1 species